UUCCAUAUAUCUCAUUAUCUAUCUUCUUAAAGGUGUUGUUUCUUUGAUGAUUCCAUCAAUAUCAUUGUUUAUUUAGUUGUUAAUCCAACACUAUGUUAAUGUAAAAUAAAUUGAAUGCUUCUAGGUUUGGGUAAAGUGGGGAUAGAGACGCCAGUUCAUUCCCUAGAACAAGCUAGGUGCAAGAUUUACACUUUAUUAUUCCUGACUAUUUCUUUUGAGUGGAGCAGUGAUACACACCCGCUUUCUUAUCAGCAGGCUAAGGGAAGGGGACUUGCAUUUUGAAAGGUGAUCUGUCUGAACGAGCAGUUAUUGAUGGAAAAAUGUCAC